rnacentral:rRNA from 1 species
UACGGGGGGAGCAAGCGUUGUUCGGAUUUACUGGGCGUAAGGGGCGCGUAGGCGGCCACCGCAAGUCGAUUGUGAAAUCUCCGGGCUUAACCCGGAAAGGUCAACUGAUACUGUGCGACUAGAGUGCAGAAGGGGCAACUGGAAUUCUCGGUGUAGCGGUGAAAUGCGUAGAUAUCGAGAGGAACACCUGCGGCGAAGGCGGGUUGCUGGGCUGACACUGACGCUGAGGCGCGAAAGCGUGGGGAGCAAACAGG